rnacentral:rRNA from 1 species
UGGGGGAUAUUGCACAAUGGGCGAAAGCCUGAUGCAGCGACGCCGCGUGAGGGAAGACGGUCUUCGGAUUGUAAACCUCUGUCUUAGGGGAAGAAAAUGACGGUACCCUAGGAGGAAGCUCCGGCUAACUGCGUGCCAGCAGCCGCGGUAAUACGUAGGGAGCAAGCGUUGUCCGGAAUUACUGGGUGUAAAGGGAGCGUAGGCGGGGAUACAAGUUGGAUGUUUAAUCUACCGGCUCAACUGGUAGCUGCAUCCAAAACUGUAUUUCUUGAGUGAAGUAGAGGCAGGCGGAAUUCCUAGUGUAGCGGUGAAAUGCGUAGAUAUUAGGAGGAACACCAGUGGCGAAGGCGGCCUGCUGGGCUUUAACUGACGCUGAGGCUCGAAAGCGUGGGGAGCAAACAG